rnacentral:rRNA from 1 species
UACAGAGGGGGCAAGCGUUGUUCGGAAUUACUGGGCGUAAAGCGCACGUAGGCGGCUUUGCAAGUUAGAGGUGAAAGCCCGGGGCUCAACUCCGGAAUUGCCUUUAAAACUGCAUUGCUAGAGUUGUGGAGAGGUAAGUGGAAUUCCGAGUGUAGAGGUGAAAUUCGUAGAUAUUCGGAAGAACACCAGUGGCGAAGGCGACUUACUGGACACAUACUGACGCUGAGGUGCGAAAGCGUGGGGAGCAAACAGG